rnacentral:tRNA from 1 species
UAGAUGGAUGUUCGCUGGUUAGAACGUUUAGCUGUUAACUAAAAGUUUGCAGGAUCGAGGCCUGCCCAUCUAG